AUGGCAAGAAUCUUUGGUGCAAACCAGAAUCAUGCUAACACAACCCGGGUCGUCGUAACAUAUGGUUACAUGUCCCCAGAAUAUGCCAUGGGAGGUACAUUUUCUGUGAAAUUGGACACUUAUAGCUUUGGGGUCCUUCUCUUGGAGAUUGUUACACUAGUAGAAAAAGGGGCUUUCGUUCGGCGAAGCUCGACCUCCAAGCUCCAUUUUUCCCGAGAUUUGUUUAGGUUUAGCAGUCCGUCACGUCCCGUCCCUGUCUUCACCGCCGUCGAUCGCCCGCGCCGAUCUCAUCUCCUGCACCACUUGCGAUGGUUUUGGUAUCCGCCCCCGUUGGCCCUCGUCCUGGCUAUGAUUCGGAUGUGGAGGUAG
rnacentral:rRNA from 1 species